GAGCGCUGAUAUUUGCCCCGGGUCAAAUCUCGGGUCAAAUCCCGAAACUGACUGGAACGACGGCGUUUUGUUUAUAAAUUUUUUUUUGUUUUCAUUUGCUAUGAACGACGACGUUUCACCAGGGUAAAUUGCAAAAGCAUCGUUUCACCAGCAACUUCUUCUUCUUCAUUCUCCUCAUUUCACGAGACAGCCACGUUUCACCAGCAACUCAACUGCGCAACCACAACCCAACUGCAGAUCAUCUUGCUGCAACCUCUGCAUCAUUACCAUUUACCAAGCCCUGGAGUCUGGCCCAUUUUCCCUGAAAAAAUGGCAGGCAUUUUGUUUUUUUUUGGGCUCCACGAUGCCACCCAUUUUCUUUUUUUCCUUCCAAAAGGGUGGUCUGUGUCAAUUAUUACAAUUGUCAGCAAAGAAUCUUGAGAAAUUUACUUCAAGAGAAUAUUGUUGUUGCACAGAGUUUGAUCUUCUAUCUUCUCUUACUCUCUAAAUAUACAACUUAAUUAGAUGAUUUCUGGUUUGUUAACUAUUGAAUUUGAGGAAAUUAAUGGCCAUUAUUAGCAAAGUUUAAGUAAUUUAUUGAUUACUUGAUAGGGAGAUGAUAGCAUCAUUUGAAUGCGAAACUUUUGGGAUUUGAUCACUGGUGACUCCAAUCACUUUUGUCAGGGACGAUGCCGAAAAUCAAUCUUCUAGGGACAAUGUCGAAACUCGUCCAAGUUGAAGCCGCUGAUGUUUGUGUGAUUAAGGUUUCCGCAGCAACGAAGAGGAAGACGCAACUGGGUUAAGAGAACGAAGAGGAAGGAAGAAGCAAGGUUCUGUUUUUUUAACUUUAUACAAGCCCAAAUGAUAUCGUUUCACAGCAAAGCAGGAAAAAAAAUAAAAGUGCUGAAACGACGCCGUUUUAGUCGCUUCGGGGUUUGACCCGGGAUUUGACCUGGGGCAAACAUCAUUUUCCUUACUUUUCAAUUUAGUUUAUCUUACGGGAUCUCCUUUCUUACAUAUAUGUAAGAUAUAUUCCCCUCACAUAAACAGUAUAUGUACGAGAUUCACAUACUAUUUAUGUGAAAAGAAUGUAUCUUACAUGUAUGUAAGAUAGAGAUUACCUUCCCUUAUUA
rnacentral:lncRNA from 1 species